UACAGAGGGUGCAAGCGUUAAUCGGAAUUACUGGGCGUAAAGCGUGCGUAGUCGGUUAUUUAAGUCGGGUGUGAAAGCCCCGGGCUCAACCUGGGAAUUGCAUUCGAUACCGGAUAGCUAGAGUUCGGCAGAGGGAAGCGGAAUUUCCGGUGUAGCGGUGAAAUGCGUAGAUAUCGGAAGGAACAUCAGUGGCGAAAGCGGCUUCCUGGACCAGAACUGACGAUCAGGCACGAAAGCGUGGGGAGCAAACAGG
rnacentral:rRNA from 1 species